AGUCGUAACAAGGUUUCCGUAGGUGAACCUGCGGAAGGAUCAUUACAGAAUGAAAAGUGCUUAACUGCAUUUUUUCUUACACAUGUGUUUUUCUUUUUUUGAAAACUUUGCUUUGGUAGGCCUUCUAUAUGGGGCCUGCCAGAGAUUAAACUCAACCAAAUUUUAUUUAAUGUCAACCGAUUAUUUAAUAGUCAAAACUUUCAACAACGGAUCUCUUGGUUCUCGCAUCGAUGAAGAACGCAGCGAAAUGCGAUAAGUAAUAUGAAUUGCAGAUAUUCGUGAAUCAUCGAAUCUUUGAACGCACAUUGCGCCCUUUGGUAUUCCAAAGGGCAUGCCUGUUUGAGCGUCAUUUCUCCCUCAAACCCUCGGGUUUGGUGUUGAGCGAUACGCUGGGUUUGCUUGAAAGAAAGGCGGAGUAUAAACUAAUGGAUAGGUUUUUUCCACUCAUUGGUACAAACUCCAAAACUUCUUCCAAAUUCGACCUCAA
rnacentral:misc_RNA from 1 species